GGGCAGGAGACCAGGACUCUGGGAGAUUGCUUGAUUCUUGUGUCCUCCGGAGGAUGUUUGUUUGUCUGCAGGGACAGCUCAAUCCGACUUGCACUUUUGACUAUGGCGUCUAGACCGAACAGCUUUCACCUUUGCACCACGGGUUGAAGAGCAGAUGGAAGUCAAUCUUCUCGUUCUUCUCCGAAACGCGUCCAUCAGGAGUCAUCAGCAACACGUGCAGACGGUAAUGGCCGAUGACGGAGUCUGCCGGGCUGUGUAGAGUCAACAGCACGCCAUUGUGGUCUCCCUCCUGCGUGAAGCGCCAUCCCUCUUUGCUGCCGCGCUCCUUCUCAACUUUGAUCGCCUUCUCCCCUCGCUUGCCUGAAGACCCAAUGGGAACAGGUCUCUCCAGGUUGGCUGGUGUGUGUGUGUGUGUGUGUGUGUGUGUGAGUGACAGGAAGAAAAGCUCAGCAAGAGGUAAUUAAUACACACAUCUUUACACCUUACACAAAGAGAAGGAUUGUGAAGUUACUUCCUGGUCAAUCCAAAGUGCUGGCUUGCCAACGACCACACAGUUGAUCACAUUGGAUAAUCACAUCCACCAGGUGUAAAGACACGCAGGUGAUACAUUUAAAAAAUACAGCUUUCAAGUGGAUGCUACAGCUAUAUAGUUUUUUCCCAUUUGUAAUUUUUAUCUCCAGAUUUUUUUCCAAACCUUUUUAUUUGUCACAGGUUUGAAUUAGUACUGCAUGUCAUUGUUGACUACCGUGAUAUGUCACUUCAGUCUUUUUCAACCUUUUUUGAGCCAAGGCACAUUUUUUGCGUUGAAAAAAAUGCGGGGGCACACCACCAGCAGAAAUCAUUCAAAAACGAAACUCAGUUGACAGUAAAGAGCCAAUUGUUGGAUAUGACUUUAAACCAUAACCAAGCAUGCAUCACUAUAGCUCUUGUCUCAAAGUAGGUGUACUGUCACCACCUGUCACAUCACGCCAUGACUUAUUUUGAGUUUUUUGCGGUUUUCCUGCGUGUAGUGUUUUAGUUCUUGUCUUACGCUCCUAUUUUGGUGGCUUUUUCUCUUUUUUUGGUAUUUUCCUGUAGCAGUUUCAUGUCUUCCUGUGAGCGAUAUUUCCCGCAUUUCUUUGUUUUAGCAAUCAAGAAUAUUUCAGUUGUUUUUAUCCUUCUUUGUGGGGACAUUGUUGAUUGUGUAAGUCUUUGCUGUCGUCCAGCAUUCUGUUUUUGUUUACUUUGUAGCCAGUUCAGUUUUAGUUUAGUUCUGCAUAGCCUUCCCUAAGCUUCAAUGCCUUUUCUUAGGGGCACUCACCUUUUGUUUAUUUUUGGUUUAAGCAUUAGACACCUUUUUACCUGCACACUGCCUCCCGCUGUUUUUGACAUCUACAAAGCAAUUAGCUACCGGCUGCCACCUACUGAUAUGGAAGAGUAUUACACGGUUACUCUGCCGAGCUCAACAACAACACAUCAUUUUCAGACUGUAAUUACUGGUUUGCAAAAAAUAUUUUUAACCCAAAUAGCUGAAAUUAGAUAAUCUCCCACGGCACACCAGACUGUAUCUCACGCGCGGCACAGUGGUUGAAAAACACUGUGUUACUUUAGCCGACUGUGGUAAAAAUAAAUAUUUGCAGUUUGCAGCAUCAUUGUUGAGCAGUUCUUGAAAAGAUUACAGGAUAUUUUUACUUUCUCUUUAGGUCCUUACUUAUAGGCCCACUUCAAAGUAAACAGUGACAAUUGCUAUGGAUUUGCCAAUAUACCAGAAAAUACUAGAAUAAAAGGAUAUAAUUGGCUAAAUGUUUGCAUUAUAUGUAUGUAUUUUUGUUAGGGCUGACAAAAAUAAGUUACAA